AGGACGAACGCUGGCGGCGUGCUUAACACAUGCAAGUCGAACGGGGCCUUUCGGGGCCUAGUGGCGAACGGGUGAGUAACACGUGAGCAACCUGCCCUUGGCUCUGGGAUAGCCUCCGGAAACGGGGAUUAAUACCGGACAUUCACUUCCUUCCGCAUGGUUGGUGGUGGAAAGUUUUUCGGCCGGGGAGGGGCUCGCGGUCUAUCAGCUUGUUGGCGGGGUAACGGCCCACCAAGGCGACGACGGAUAGCC
rnacentral:rRNA from 1 species